rnacentral:misc_RNA from 1 species
AACGCACAUUGCGCCCCUCGGUAUUCCGUGGGGCACGCCUGUUCGAGCGUCAUUUACACCCUCAAGCGCAGCUUGGUGUUGGGCGUCUGUCCCGCUCUCCGUAGCGCGGACUCGCCUCAAAGUCAUUGGCGGCGGUCGUGCCGGCUCCUCGCGCAGCACAUUUGCGCUUCUCGGAGGCCCGGCGGAUCGGCAUCCAGCAAGCUACUUUUUAUGACUUGACCUCGGAUCAGGUGAGGAUACCCGCUGAACUUAA